rnacentral:tRNA from 1 species
GCAGAUGUGGUGGAAUAGGCAGACACGCUACUUUGAGGUGGUAGUGAGCUUAGCUCGUGUGGGUUCAAGUCCCGUCAUCUGCACCA